GCAUUUAGAGCAAAUUUGACAGGAGGUGAAAUUGUUUAUCAGGUGAAGAUCUGUCUGCCCUAGAAUUUUCAGAUGAAUUGGAUAACCGGUUGUUAGGUUGAUAUCCCUGAAUUGGUAAUUUUAAGGAAAUUUUUCCGUUUUUUUGUUAUUAUUUUGAAUAUUAAUAUUAUAGUUAGAGAUAAACUGUAAACAGCAAUAAUGUACAGCAAAGUAAGACCUAAAAAUAAGUCAACAUGACCAAAAUGGUCAAUUGACCCCCUAAGGAGUUAUUGCCCUUUAUAGUAAAUUUUUAACAAUUUUCAUAAAAUUUGUAAAUUUUCACUAACAUUUUCCACUGAAACUACUGGGCCAAGUUCAUUAUAGAUAAAGAUAAUUGUAGGCAGCAAGAAUGUUCAGUAAAGUAAGAUCUACAAACACAUCAACAUCACCAAAACACAAUUUUGUCAUGUGUCC
rnacentral:lncRNA from 1 species